UGUAUCAGAACUACUCCUAUCUAAAACUUGCCUCAGCUAGAUUCAGAAUUCCAAGUGCAUUAAUCAUUACCUUUUUAACUAAAUUCCCCCAGAGCAUCAACCGUGAAAUCUAUAUUUAAGAAUAAAAUGCUACAUAUAAUACCUAGAUCCAUCACUGGCAAAUUCUUUUUUGCCAUUAACACAUUUCUCUGCUUCCCUCAUUAAUACUCCAUAUGUUUUCCUUUACCGUCCUCCUUUAUUCUUUAUUUAUAUUUAUAUUAUUUAUAUCUUUAUUCUUCAGAAGGGAAUAUGCGAGGAAUUCUGUCCAGGAUCCUGCUUCUCCUUCCUUCCCAGCAUUUGUCCAAGCUUGAGGCCUGAGGCCACGCUGACACCUUCCCAGCUGUCUUCCUAAAAGCAAGACACAGUGAAAAGAGUCAGAAAGCAAUGUUAUCUGAGGCUGAGUAUGGACAACAAGAAGGCCAUGAGGUGCACAAAAUCUUCAGCUGGCUGGCCUAAUGUUAUUGAAAAAGAGCAUGUUGUCUUCGGUGACAAGCAUGUGACUGGUAAAGGAAGCAGGGAAGUGGCAUGGAGAGCACAACUCAGAGUUUCCCACCACUUUGCAAAGUAAGUGAUUAGAUGUAGUUCAGCAUUUACAAAUCUCACUCCCCUGUGUACAUCUGUGGCCUCCAAUUAAAUUGAAAGUUUCAUUCUUAGAGAACUCCAAAUGUGGACCCAUCAGCAGCAUUUAGGUUCGUGUUCUUGUAUUCAAAAUACCAUUUUAUGUGGUAGUGAGUAAAAAUGAGAUAGAAUGAUGAGAUGGAUCUACUAAAAGUCUGUCCUAAAAACCACCAGAACUUUCUCUAAACACAGUCCCUCAGUCUUGUUUUUAUUACAUUGGAGAAACCACAGUUUGAGUUCCCAAUUAUUGCUGCAAGGUGGAUGAUAAAGGAUCACAGUACAAACAAUUUUUAAACAUUUGGGUUGUCAUAGUCCUUACUUCAUGCCUAUCGGAUCUGCAGACUGUUCAGCCUGCUGUGGACGACGCAUCUUUCAUAGGGUUUGUUUUCCCAUAGGGAGAUGCAUAAAGUCUUGGUUGCUUUUUUUGUACCCGGUUCACUUUUCGUGCUUUUAUCACACGGGAUGGGCUCUCCGAAGCUUGAUGUGAAAUCUCUGUCUCGAAUUCUGAAAUGGUUCCACUAGGUUUAUGUAGAUCAUCUGCUGAGUAAAUUGCAAAUCAUGUAGAUUAUAUGUGUAAGUUGGUUGGAACUGGCAGAAAAUUAACAAAAAAACUGAUGCAGGCCCAGGGUAUUGCAGCAUUAUUAGUAACAGCAAGAUAGAAGAAACGACCCCAGUAUCCAUAAUCACGAGACUGGUUGAAAAAAGACGGUACAUUCACAUGGUGAUAUGUGCCUGCCUGUUGAAUGGGACACAGAGUAUCUUUAUAAGUUGCUCUGUGUAAUCCCAGGACGUAUUAUUAAAUGAAAAAGCAAGGCUCAGAAUAGUGUUUCUGAUACAAUCAGUGUGCGUGUGCACAUGUGUGUGUUUACUUGCUUAUAUUUUCCGAAAGAAACUAUGGAAGGUUAAUCCAAAAACUAAGGAGCAUAUUCACCCAUAUGAAGAGAGAGGAUGUAGGGAAGAAGAGACAGUAGUGAGAGCUGCUUUCUCCGAACAUUUGUACGUUACUUUGACAUUGGAGCUAUGCAAUGUCUUACAAAAUAAUAAAACCAAAAAGUGGAUUAACCA
ensembl:lncRNA